rnacentral:lncRNA from 1 species
CGAAUACGUCGGCAUUGGUUCUCAGCAGCUCCACCAGCCGUCGUCGAUCUGGGUCGGGUAGUUGAGAACCGACCCAUACCUUUCGGUCGGGAUCCCCGGCCAUCGGGAUGGGGACGAGCUGCUCAGCCGGUUCGCCCCGUUCUCCCUCCUCCCGUGGGUCCAGCUUGUCGAUCGCCAGGGAGCCCUUCAACUCGUCACUUUGGGCG